UCCGCUGUAGCAUUGGCUAACCUUCAAAUUGUUAAUUGAAUCCGGGUUCGAAUCCCGGCAGCGGAA
rnacentral:tRNA from 1 species